AUAUCUGAUAUGGCCUUUUAGCUAAGAUCAAGUGUAGUAUUUGUCCUUAUCAGUUUAAUAUUUGAUAUGUGAAUUAUCGACUCAUACGAUGUUAACUCAAUUUUUUUUAGGGGAGAGACCAUUACGGUAGCUUGCUAUCGGAGCUCUCAAUGUAUUGCCUUGGUUUUGCACUAUUACCUUGACCUGGCACACCCCAC
rnacentral:snRNA from 1 species